UACAUGGGGUGCAAACGUUGCUCGGAAUCAUUGGGCGUAAAGCGCACGUAGGCGGUUCGUUAUGUCGGAUGCGAAAGCCCUCGGCUUAACCGGGGAAGUGCAUCCGAAACUGGCGAGCUUGAGUACUAAAGAGGGUCGCGGAAUUCCCGGUGUAGAGGUGAAAUGCGUAGAUAUCGGGAGGAACACCUGUGGCGAAAGCGGCGCACUGGACCACAUCUGACGCUGAGGCGCGAAAGCUAGGGGAGCAAACAGG
rnacentral:rRNA from 1 species